GAAUAAAUGUUUGGCUCAACAUAAAAAAGAGAAAAAUAUACCUAAGAUGCAAUUCAUCGUGAAAAGGGCAAGCAGUGUGUAUUUUUUGCAUUUUCCAAUUCAACGAAAUACUUUGUUGCGGUUAAGUGAGAAUGGCGUGACAAAUGCAGAUGAGACAGUAUUUGAGGUUUACCAGGCGCAUUUAUUGGAGUAAGAAUUGCUGACGACAUUAAUCAUAAGAAAGAUCGCACUUCCUCACUUAAGAAGUUCAAAUUGUUGGAGAUCGCAAAGGUAUUGUGUAGGUUUCUUGGGAUGAUUCAUUUCUACCGCAAGCAUAUUCUUGUAACAAUGUUGUUUGUCAAAUUGUUUCAUGGCCAGAAUUAUACUGUUCUCACGCUAGAUACCGCGUGCCAAACCGUCCGACACGGGGAUUAGGUUUUUUAAGGGUAGUUUAUGACUGCAAGAAAGUUGGAAAAUAAAAGGCUGUAAACUAAUAGAAAAGUAGUAAAAAUAAGAUCUUAGGAAUUCUUGGGAAAAUUGCAUGCAAUGCAGAAGAAGAAUUCACUAGCACAGAUGGUGAGAUGGUAGUCCCCACAUAUCUAUAUUGACGCCGUCAACAAGGCGGUAACCGAGGUUCAAGGAAUAUCAAAGAAUGAAUGAUUUUCAUCUGAACUUUUAACACUGGCAGUUGAAUAUUAAAAUUUAAAAAAAAAUAAAAAAAAAUUGUAAAUAGA